rnacentral:misc_RNA from 1 species
CCGAGUUUUCAACUCCCAAACCCCUGUGAACAUACCUGAACGUUGCUUCGGCGGGACCGCCCCGGCGCCCUCAGCGGCCCGGAACCAGGCGCCCGCCGGAGGACCCAAACUCUUGCUUUGCAUAGUGGCAUUCUCUGAGUCUCACAAACAAAAAAUAAAUCA